GGAGAGGUGGCAGAGUGGUCGAUCGCGGCGGUCUUGAAAACCGUUGAAGGCGCAAGUCUUCCGAGGGUUCGAAUCCCUCCCUCUCCGCCA
rnacentral:tRNA from 1 species